rnacentral:rRNA from 1 species
GCUUGCUCCGGUGGAUUAGUGGCGAACGGGUGAGUAACACGUGAGCAAUCUGCCCUUGACUCUGGGAUAACUGCGGGAAACUGUAGCUAAUACCGGAUACGACACCUUGGGGCAUCCCGAGGUGUGGAAAGAAUUUUGGUCAAGGAUGAGCUCGCGGCCUAUCAGCUAGUUGGUGUGGUAAUGGCUCACCAAGGCGACGACGGGUAGCCGGCCUGAGAGGGUGACCGGCCACACUGGAACUGAGACACGGUCCAGACUCCUACGGGAGGCAGCAGUGGGGAAUAUUGCACAAUGGGCGAAAGCCUGAUGCAGCAACGCCGCGUGAGGGAUGAAGGCCUUCGGGUUGUAAACCUCUUUUAGCAGGGAAGAAGCGAAAGUGACGGUACCUGCAGAAAAAGCACCGGCUAACUACGUGCCAGCAGCCGCGGUAAUACGUAGGGUGCAAGCGUUGUCCGGAAUUAUUGGGCGUAAAGAGCUCGUAGGCGGUUUGUCGCGUCUGCUGUGAAAAUCCAAGGCUCAACCUUGGACCUGCAGUGGGUACGGGCAGACUAGAGUGCGGUAGGGGAGAUGGGAAUUCCUGGUGUAGCCGGUGGAAUGC